UACGUAGGGGGCAAGCGUUGGUCCGGAUUUACUGGGCGUAAAGCGCGCGUAGGCGGGAAGAGAAGUCCGGUGGGAAAGCCCACGGCUCAACCGUGGAAGAACGCUGGAAACUCUCAUUCUUGAGGGCGGCAGAGGGAAGUGGAAUUGCUGGUGUAGCGGUGAAAUGCGUAGAUAUCAGCAGGAACACCCGUGGCGAAGGCGGCUUCCUGGGCCGCCCCUGACGCUGAGGCGCGAAAGCGUGGGGAGCGAACGGG
rnacentral:rRNA from 1 species